GACGAACGCUGGCGGCGCGCCUAAAACAUGCAAGUCGAACGAGAACCUCGGGCUUCGGCCUGGGGGGAGAGUGGCGAACGGGUGAGUAACACGUGAGGAACCUGCCCCGGAGACCGGGAUAACUCGAGGAAACUCGGGCUAAUACCGGAGGCCCUCAUAGGACCGCAUGACCUGAUGAGGAAAUGGAUUCCUCUCCGGGAUGGCCUCGCGGCCUAUCAGCUUGUCGGUGAGGAAACGGCUCACCAAGGCAACGAAGGGUAGCUGGUCUGAGAGGACGAUCAGCCACACUGGGACUGAGACACGGCCCAGACUCCUACGGGAGGCAGCAGUUAGGAAUCUUGCGCAAUGGGGGAAACCCUGACGCAGCGACGCCGCGUGCGGGAUGAAGGCCUUCGGGUUGUAAACCGCUUUCAGCAGGGACGAAAUUGACGUUACCUGCAGAAGAAGGCCCGGCCAACUACGUGCCAGCAGCCGCCGUAACAC
rnacentral:rRNA from 1 species